GGGCGGAUAGCUCAGCCGGCCAGAGCGCGUGCCUUACAAGCACGAGGGCGCAGGUUCAAGUCCUGCUCCGCCCACCA
rnacentral:tRNA from 1 species